rnacentral:misc_RNA from 1 species
UCACUGCUUGCGCAGGCAGUCUCACUAGAGUCCCCGGCAUUAUCCGCUGGUAACUAGCAAUAGGGGUUGCGCUCGUUGCGGGACUUGACCCAACAUCUCAUGACACGAGCUGACGACAGCCAUGCAGCACCUCGCUACCUGCCCGAAGGAAACCCCAUCUCUAGGGCUGUCCGGCAUAUGUCAAGCCUUGGUAAGGUUCUUCGCGUUGCGUCGAAUUAAGCCACAUGCUCCGCCGCUUGUGCGGGCCCCCGUCAAUUCCUUUGAGUUUUAGCCUUGCGGCCGUACUCCCCAGGCGGGGCACUUAAUGCGUUAGCUUCGGCACGGAGAGGGUUGAAGACCUCCCCACACCUAGCACCCAACGUUUACGGCUGGGACUAC